CCAACACUUUACUACCACUUUCACUCCCUCACUACUCACGAUAUCGGACAUACUUACCCUCUCGCUGACUCAAAGAAUAGUAAGUAUAAACUAUUUCCUUUUAGACACUCACAAUGACCAAAACGUUGUCCAUUAUUUAUAGGUGUCCGUUAUCGUCAGUUCCUAAGGGGAUAUAAGAAUCCCUAGACGCUGUAGAGCGGGCAUCAAAUAUGGCGCUCUUGGCUGGGUUGUACAAACGUUCUGUAUUAUUUACAAACCUGUAAACUAUUUAUCCACUUACAAGUGAUUAUAAUUUAACCAAACUCGUAUAAGUAGCAUUGUUUGUCAUUAUAAC